GGGAGCGCGGGGUCGAGUCUCUGGGCGUUGCGCCGACAGAGUUUGGCGGGCGAAAGAAGACUGAGGUAGGUAUUCGCCCCGCCUGCGGUCUGUCACUUCCCAGAGGGAUUACUUCUCUUUCUCUUCUGUUCCUGGUGUCUGUGAGGCGCGGGGAGCAGCCUGGUGACAUCUCGCUCUCACUCUUCCACCGAAGAAAUCGAGCGCCCGGAGGCGGGAGAUGAGGCCUGUCCGGCCACCCCGUGGGGCCAUUUGCUGUCAGUGGACCGCCCGCCCUCGACUUUAGGCUGGCGGCGUGGGACGUGGGGACCGCGGGGAGUGCGACCUCAUCACCCACCUGCCGGGUGACUUUGGGCGAACCUAGCCACAGUCCCCGCCAUGGCCAGGGUGGCGGGCCCCUCCCCGCUGACUGGUGAAGAUUCCGUGGCCUCGUGCGCGGGAAACACCAGGCGCGUCGUUAAGCGGUGUGGAGUCCGAGCGGUGAGCCGGAGCCGGUCUCCUGAGCUUCGGGGCUCACAGAGGGGGGAGGUAACAGCAUGUACACGUAAAGGUGCAGGCUGGAGAACGGGAGGAAGCCUCCCUUCCUCCCCGUGGCCCCAGAGGUGACCACUGUUACCUGUUUCUCUUGGAACCUUCCAGGGAUGUUCAAGGCAUGUUUAGGAAAUACUUACACUUUUUUCUCUUUAGCGAUGGCUGGGUUUCAAUUCUCUUUUCUUUUUUAAACACAAGUAGUAGCCUGUACGCCCGUUGUUCUGUACGUUGCCGUUUCCUCUUAAUAUAUCUUGGAGGUUGUCCAAGUCAGUACCUAAGGCUGUGCCUCUUUUUUAACAGCCGUAUGGCCUUUCACCAUGUAGAUAAACAAGAGGUAAUUUAGGAGCUUUUUGAUGGAUAUUCAGGAUGGUUCUUUUUGCAAUUAGCUACAGAAGAUUUUGAGAGAUCAAAGAAUGGGAGUAGGAUGCUUUCCGUGUCAGUUGCUUCCAAAGAAAUGCUCCUUCCAUAUUGCCAAAGCUGGAGGAAGGGGUGUUUUGCUGCUGAUCUCUAAUACUGGCUUUGUCUUUUUUUUUUUUUUAAUUUUAAUUGGGGUAUAGCUGAUUACCAGUGUUAUGUCUGGCUUUGUCUUUUUAUUUUAAUUAAUUAAUUAAUUUUUGGCUGCAUUGUGUCUUCCUUGCAGUGCGCGGGCUUCUCAUUGUGGUGGCUUCUCUUGCUGCAGAGCACGGGCUCUAGGCGCACGGGCUCAAUAGCUGUGGCCCAUGGGCUUAGUUGCUCUGCAGCAUGUGGGAUCUUCCCGGACCAGGGCUUGAACCCAUGUCCCCUGCAAUGAAUGGCAGGUGGAUUCUUAACCACUGUGCCACCUGGGAAGUCCUGUCUGGCUUUGUCUUUAACCAGAAACUUGUAGGAGAAGUGUUCUAAACCUUUGGCACCUACUCCCACUUGUCUGUUUUAGAACCUAGUAUAAGAUGGAAUUCGUUUUAGCAUGAUAUUAUGAAUUGUCACGUUAGGCUUCAUGUAUCUGUGUUUCCUAGUAUUCUGAAGAGAGCAUCGGGGCUGUCACAUGUCGUGUCACCUGAAUUCAAGUUUGAGAACCAGACUUUCGGGCCAGGGGAACAGCAUGAAUUCAGGUGAAAGAGGAUGGUGGUGUUUGGAAGUAGUAAGUGGCUGCAGUAGGGAUGGCAGAGGGAAGAAAUGGGAGAUGAGGCUAGAGUGGGGAGGUUAAGGAAUUUAUUAUCAAGCUGAAGGUUUAUAUUUUGGAGAAAUCAUACAGAUACAAGGUUUUUGAACUGGUAUUAGGGAAGAAGAGGAGGUGAUGAAUUAUGCUUUAGGAAAGCUAAUAUUGCUGUGGUAUUGUAGUGGUUAAAAAAAUGUCAUAUGCCCACAAAUUCUUUGAAACUUAAGUGAUGGAGUUUCGUUCCCCUCCCCUUGAGUAUGGGCUGGACUGAGUAGACUUGCUUCUAGCAAAUAGAAUAGAGCAGAAGUGAUGGGAUGUCACUUUGGAGAUUAGAUUAUAAAAAGACUAUAGUUUCGACCUUAAGUGUUCUUUUCCCCUCCAUCUUCCCCCCCCACCUCUCCCUCCGUCUUUCCUUUGUUCAAAAUUACUUUCUCUGGGUGAAGCCAGCUACCAAGUCCUGAGACUACUCAGGCAACCUGCCAGCAAGUGAGCUUGGAAGUGGAUCCUCCUCCAAUCGAUCCUGCAAAGUUUUUUUGUUUUUUUUUAAAUUUUUUAUUUAAUUUAUUUAUUUUUGGCUGCGCUGCGUUUUCAUUGCUGCAUGCGGGCUUUCUCUAGUUGCAGCGAGUGGGGGCUACUCUUCAUUGCAGUGCAUGGGCUUCUCAUUGCGGUGGCUUCUCUUGUCGCAGAGCAUGGGCUCUAGGCGCACGGGCUUCAGUAGUUGUGGUUUGCAGGCUCUAGAGCGCAGGCUCAGUAGUUAUGGCGCACAGGCUUUGUUGCUCCGCGGCAUGUGGGAUCUUCCCAGACCAGAGCUCGAACCCGUGUUCCCUGCAUUGGCAGGCGGAUUCUUAACCACUGCGCCACCAGGGAAGCUGAUCCUGCAAAGUUUUGAGAGAUCCUGAGCCAGAACCAUCUAAAAGCUAUGCUGCUUCCAGAUUCCUGACCCACACACAUAAACUAUGAGAUAAUAAAUGUUUGUUAUUUUAAGCCACUAAAUUUGGGCUUGGUAAUUUGUUAUCCAAAAAUAGAUAACUAGUGGAAAUGUGUAGCCCUCCCAUCUUCAGACCCAUCACCUGUGUUGAUGUAAAAGUCCUGUUAGCACCUCACACCCAAAACAAGUUCCACCAUGAACUCAUUAUCUUCCUCUCAAACCUGCUCUUCGUAUGUUUUCUGUCUCAGUUCAUGGCACCACAAACUCACUGCCUAGUUGCCCAAGCCAGAAUAUGGGAAUCCUCCUUAAUUCUUUUCUCCUCAUCCUCCAUAUAUGUUGUUUAUUUCUUCUAAAUAUUUCUUGCAUUCAUCCAAUCCUUUUUAUCCCUUCCAGCUUGUGAUGCAAACUAUCAUUACUUUUUUUCCUAGACUACUGUACCAGCCUCCUAAGUUGUCCUCCUACCUCCAGUUUUGCAUAUUAUAGUCCAUUCUUUGCCCUUCGGUGGGAGUGAUCUUUGUAAAGGGCAGAUGUGGUCCUAUCAAACCUGAUUAUGCUUAACCAACUUCCUUGCAAUAUCAUUGUCAUCAGGACGAAAUACAGAUUCCUUAAUUUGCCUUCUACAUAUCCAAGUGUGCAUUUGUUUUCUUGUGUCCCAUCUGGUUUAGAAUUUGUCCUGGAAAAAAGGGUCCCAGUUUGAAAAAUAAAUUUUAUGGUCAACCUCAACAUAUUAGGCACUCUUCAUCUGCUGCCUCCCUUAUUACCUCCCUGACUUCAUACCCUGCCUCUCACCCCUUCAGUCUUUAGAUCCUGGUUUCAACUCUGCAGUUCCCACUUGUCUUCAUACCUUCUAACAUGCUGUAACUUCUUCCUGGAGCACUACCACCUGCAAAGUCGUCCUACCAUAAUUGGCUGUCCCCUGCUUGAGAAUAAGCUCUGAGAGGGCAGGGGAGAGCCAAUUAAUGGUAGGAAAACUAUAAAUGAUAUCUUCACCAUUGUAUCCUUAGCACCUAGCCCAUAUAUAACAUAAUGAAUAUUCACUUGAAGAAUGAGUAAUGCAUUGUAAUGGCCUGAGACAGGGCUUAGGUUGACAAGAAUAGGAAACUAUUGUGGUUUUCUAGGUAUUGAUCUAAUAGCGUGAUAGCAGUGAGGACAAAGUAUAAGACUUGAACAAAAAUUGGAUAAACAAGGGAAAUUAAGAUUAUUCCCAAAUUCUGAAUAACUGGGCAAAUCGGUGGUUUUGUUAAUAGAGCUGGGGAAGGCAGGAGGAGUGGUAGAUUUGGAAAGAAAAAUAUGAUAUUCUUUUUCAAUAUUGAGUUUGAAGUUCCAGGGGUACAUCUAUGUGGAUCUGGAACGUGGAGGAGAAGGUUCCUGAACUUAAAUAGGAAAUGUGAAAGUCAUGGAAAUGAUGGUUAAAAUUGUGGAGAGACUUCCCUGGCGGUCCAGUGGUUAAGACUCCACACUUCCACUGCAGGGAGCACUGGUUCGAUUUCUGGUAGGGGAACUAAGAUCCCGCAUGCCAUGUGGUGCAGCAG
ensembl:lncRNA